AUGGCCAGAAGUGCGAUACAUGUCUAGCACAACGGCUACUAAGACCAUCGAAGUGUUGACGGACAUUUUUGCAACGCAUGGUUUUCCGGUGACGUUGGUGUCAGACAAUGGCCCGCCGUUUACCUCUGGAGAGUUUCAGAGCUACCUGGCAGCGCGAGGUAUUCAUCACCGUCUGACACCGCCGUACCACCCAGCGUCAAACGGGCAGGCGGAGUCUCUGGUCAACCUGUCUUGGUUCGAGAUCUGCGGCCAGCAGCUACCGAGAAAUGGCAGCGCGCUGUCGUCGUCGCCAUUGGAGGCCCACUGACGUACAGCGUGCGGCUGCCGGACGGUCGCAUACGUCUCGCCCACGUGGAUCAUCUGCUGGCCGACGGCUCUGCUUCUGUGACGGCUGAGCGUGGGCCCCUCGAUGCGCGGGUGACGGUGCCGCCUCCGACGGAGCCGGGAAAGCUUCGCGGUCCAGCAGUGCCAUGUGUGAUGGACGCUAGGGGGCGUUUUCCGUAUAUCAGUGAUUAUAAUAAGCGAGCAACAUGCGAGGGCAAUCGUGGCGCGCGUGCAUCAGAGCCGGUAGAAGCGGCGCCGGCCUUGCGGCGCUCUGCUCGGCUGGCUAAAAAAACUUGUUAAAGGGGGAGGAGUGCUGUGAGCGCCGUCUAUUUGCUGCAUGUGCUGGUCGUGUGACCGCUCGUGUGACCGCUCGUGUGACCGCCCGGGCCGCCGCUCGGCGCAGCUGACCGACCGACUGCCUGGGGGCGGGGUCGAAGGUCGGGGAGCUGCGCGGUCGAGACGAACCGCCGCUGACCGACUGAUGGUCACUCUCUGACCGGCCGUGAUCCAAUACAGUCCGUCUGAUGAA